CACCCCACGCCCUCCCUCUCCUUCCUAGGCGUCACUAAAGUCCAGGAAAAUUAUGCUAAUGAGGACAAACGGCUCUCACAAAGGGGCUCUCUUGCGGGGCUCUGUUUCUUAAGAAUCUGUCUGAGAAACCACGCAAUUCCCUGCCCUGGACAUUUGCACUGGAAUGGGGGGCGGGGGGGGGAAUGAGUUGCCCUGACUUUGGGGAGUUUACUUCACCUGCCGCUCCCCCUACAGACACCCCGAAGCCAGUCCCUGUGGUGCGGGGAGAAGGCCUAUUUCCAGACACACACACACCCCCAAACACAACUCAACUGCCUUUGGUUGUAUUUCUAGGCCGAAAGGAGGGAAGUGUCCUGGGGAGAGAGACAACUGUCCCCACAGCGAAAUGAACCUCUCUGGGCUCAGGCACACACAAAGAUACCUAGAAACUGGAGUCUCCACCUCCUGCGUGCCCAUUUCAUGGCACUGCACGCAACCAGGUCGCCUACAAGGAAGACAGAUAGGGCUCUGACACCAACACAAAUGGACAUCCAUGAGGUUUCACCCCCUAACCAGCGGAGUGGCCCUUCCUUUGGCCGGGUGGAGCAAAGGCCUACAUUUGCCUGCUCAUAUACCACAACUUUAAAGAGGAUGGGAUCAUCCCUCAGCUUGCCAGCUUCAGAAGCCAACUCCUGGGCAGGAGUGUGGCAGAGAGAGAGAGAGAGAGAGAGAGAGAGAGAGAGAGAGAGAGAGAAAUGGAGCUUUCGUGCCAUUCCGAGGCGUCAACUAGGGUCCUUUCUCAAAGGAAGGUGUUAAAAAUAUAAGUAGUAUGUUUAAACUGUCAGGGAGCCAAAGUGUCACCUUAGAGCAAAAACAAAGCCGGGGGAAAGGGAGAAAUCAAAAAGCACUCCGGGCCAGGGUGGCCUCAUGCAUACCAAUGGUUUUUGUCAUUUAUGGCUGGGCAAGAUUUAUGACUCGGCUCCCCAAAGCUGUAAACAGAGCACAAACCAGCAAACACUUGCUCCUUAUGGCAUAUUGCAGCGGCGCUACUUGAAAGGGAAGAGCGGGACGUGUAGGAGGUGAGACCCGGCCGCAAAAAUCCGCUCGGCGGCGGCAUUUUCUCUUCAAACCCUCAGGGUCGGAUGUGGCAUUUGAAGAAAGAAGGCGUGGGUCAAUAAUCAACCCGCACUUUCUCCUCCAAACUGCUGACGCGACUCUCACCGCCUUCUCAGCUGAGCCAGCUGCAGGGAAGGCCGUGAGAACCAGACCUGGGAGUGGACUGUCUGGUCCAAGGGGCUGAGAGCGCGGGAGCUGGGGCUUCUGCACCGCGUACCUUUCCGGCUCGACCAGACCCAGCCCAGGCACCCAAGCGCUGGGACCAGGCCCGACCUGAGGAGUUGGGGGAGCCACCGCAGAGCUUGGGUGAGAGCUCUCUACUCAGACCAGGGCCUCCACCGACUCGCGACUAGGUGGCUUCAGGGCGGUGGGCCCCAGCGGGCGAAAUAGAGCUCUGAUUUCAAGACACGGGUCUGUACCCCGGCCUUAUGCCUCUCAUCUGAAAUCCAAAAGGCUGGUUUUGGAGCAAGCAUGGGCGAGAUGAUUAAAACUAAUGAUUUGCAAUAGGUUUUUGUUGGUUUGUUAUUGUGUUGUGAUUGAAAAUACGCUGUUUGAUUUCCGCCUCUUGAAAUUGCUCACUGCCGCGGUAAGCUUUCUAGGCAAAUUCCACCGUUCACCCGACUUCUUCAAACCCGCCAAGUUUGUCUUUGCUCAGCAGCUGAGCUUCCCUAAAUCCCAUGAUUUCCAGAGGGACUAGAAGAAAGCGUUUUCUCCGGCACAGACCAGUACUUAGAGCCAUGAAGGUGCCUGGCGGAACCUUACUGCCGUUCCAAGGGGUGUCCUACCCAUCUCUGAGAGGUUUCACCGCUCCAAGGCUGGCUGUGCAAGCCAGGGAGGAAGGUGAGGAGCAGCUUUUAGCAAGAAGCCUUAAAAUCCAAGAAUGGGGAGGGAAGGUAUUAAGGAAAUACCCUGGCCUGUGAGGUUGAGGCUGGUACUUUGGUGCCUAGGGGGACCGGUCUUUUUAAUAGCGAAUCGUUUGGCUGUAACAGAGUGGCUUUAGCUCUUUCCUGGGAGGGAAAAAACCACUGUGCUCUAUGAAAGCAGUUAUUGGCUUCUCACUGUGCAUACUUUUAUAUAGAACCAGUUUGGAGAGUCUGUCCUUAGAUAUUUAUUCGGCUGGCCAGCACUGAAGCCACAAUAAAAAGACUCCUCUGACAAACCUUUACUCCAUUUCUCCUUCUUUCGAGUGAAACUAUAUUAUUUAUGAGUCUUUAACUGGGUCAAAAAAUGCACCAGAACUGGGUCAUAAAUCAUAUGAAAUGCUGACAAGUAAUUGAGCAGCAAUUAAAGCUUACAUUUUAUUUCCAAGGGGUGUUUUAGAGCACUCCAAACGCCCUCAGUUCAGCACAGUUACAUCCGAUCGGCAUGGGGGAAGGCAGAGGCGGCCCUUACUGGGAAAGUAAAUCUCACUCAAGUAGAAGAAGCCUGAUUUGUUUUUGUUUUUUUUAAUAAAGAAAUACGAUUUUUUUUUGUUUUAUUAAAGAGAAAAAAUUUGAUUCCAACUUCUCACCAGGCAUCCCUUUCUCUGCUCCAAGGAGCAAAGUAAACUCCAAUUUCUUCCACCUUUCCAAAGACUUGCACUCCUCCCAGGAGCAGAAGGUCCCCAAAGUCUAAUUAGCCCCAGCCUGGCCAGUACUUUAGAAGCAAGCGGUUUAGUUCAUCUGCCUCCAUGCUGGCAACAGCUCCCUUUCAGGGAAUAUAAAGCCAGAGAAAUGUCUGUCUUUGCUUGCUGAGAACUGUACCUGCAAAAUUCCCUCUGAUUUUGGGCACAUAGGCCAGUUCUUUAACUCAGGCUGGCUUAGGGAUAUAAGAAAGCAUCCAAACCAAAAACAAUGAUGGUAGCCCAAACCGAGCCCCAGUCGGCUUCUGAAAAUCACCACAACCCAACCUCCAGGCAACUGGCAUGCUCACCAGCAUCCCAAGCUUCCCCUAGGUCCGAGCUGUCCUUCUCCAUCCCUCCCAGGCAGAUAUUGCUCUGGAAACAAUGGCUUGCCCCCAGGUUGGACUCAUUGGGUCCGGAGUGGGGAACUCUGCCCCUGCAAACCAACACUGAACAACGUGGUUGGAAACAUCAUCGAUAAAAUGGCAGCGCAUCUGCACAUUUUCCUCAUUGAUUUUCCUCCUCCAUCUGCUCAGGCUGCCCAGGUCAGCCCUAACCCUCCAUCCUGCUCAGUAAACACUGGCCAAAUGGAGAAAGACUCCCCUUCCCAGCUGCUGGCCCCCACUCUUUUCAUGAGGUCUGGCCCUUCCAGCCUCUGGCGGGCCACCUCUGCCUGACCACAGCUUCCAGCUACCUCAGACAUCAGCACCCUCCCUCUGCCUGGGGCUCAGCUCCUGGGACUUCAGCCCUGCAGGUUGCAGUGGGACAAAGCAAGCCUAACACUGGAGAGUACUUGGUCCAUCUAGUAGCCCCCCAAGUGCCCUCUCCUUUACACCUCACAAUAUUUUCCAGGGAAUUAAACCCGGAGUCUGAGGAGUUACUGGGAAUCUUUCAAAUGCUUUCGGUUCUAAAACAGAAACAAAGGAAGACAGAGGCUGAGGGUCCUGUCCAUGAUCCAGUGUCUCCUCGCCUGACCUUUGUCUCUCAUAGCCAUAACUCACUCUAGAUAUGAACAAUCAGAGGAAAUACCUUAAAAUAAAUUCCAUCCUCCUGGUAUGGCCUGGAGUCCCAUCGGCUAGCUUGCCCAGGACUGCUCCAUGAGAACUGAAAACUGCAAGCCGCUGGAAGAGCGCCUGCCUGCUCCGGAGAAAGGGAAGGAGAAGGAGAAGGAGGAGGGAAACAGGCAGAUGAAGUGUGAAGGUACAACAGAUGCCAAGGGCCGCCUCUCUCCAAGUGUGCUCAGAGUUCACCCUGUGGAGCAGCUGCAGAAACUCCUGGGCCUCUGCUCUGCACGGUUUCAACUUUCACUGCGGGGACAGACAUGUUUCUCUGCCUUACAGAGACUUGAAGCCUAAAAGCCUGGCCAAGUUUGGAAAGAAGAGGAGCCCUCUCAGGACUCAAGAGCAUUCUGCUUUUUGGAACAUUUCCACAGUGGGUCAAGCUUGACAAGAAUUCAGAUCAAGUUGAGCACACACUUAUACAGACACAUACAGAGGCACACAUUCUGGGAGUACUAAGAAUGUGACCCCAGCUCACACUGCCUACAAGGCUUCUGCACACAAGGUCAAAUAUCUCCACCAAGAGGAGUUGAUUUUUGUUGUUUUGGUUUGAUUUUUUUUGUUUUUUGUGAAAAGCUUGGAAUACACACAAAUCUGUCUCUUA